rnacentral:tRNA from 1 species
GGCUCAGUAGCUCAGUUGGUUAGAGCGUGGGACUCAUAAGCCCGAGGUCGUGUGUUCAAAUCACACCUGAGUCA